rnacentral:rRNA from 1 species
CCUACGGGGGGCAGCAGUGGGGAAUAUUGCACAAUGGGGGAAACCCUGAUGCAGCGACGCCGCGUGAGUGAAGAAGUAUCUCGGUACGUAAAGCCCUAUUAGUCGGGAAGAAAAUGACGGUACUUGACUAAGAAGCACCGGCUAACUACGUGCCAGCAGCCGCGGUAAUACGGCGGGGGCAAGCGUUAUCCGGAUUUUCUGGGGGUAAAGGGAGCGUAGACGGCAGCACAAGUCUGGAGUGAAAUUCCGGGGCUCAACCUCGGCGCUACCGCCAAAACCAUCAGACUAGAGUGGAGGAGGGGUAAGUGGAAUGCCUGGUGUAGCGGUGGAAUGCGUAGAUAUUAGGAGGAACAUCGGGGGCGAAGGCGACUUACUGGACUGUAACUGACGCUGAGGCACGAAAGCGUGGGGAGCGAACAGGAUUAGAUACCCUUGUAGUC